rnacentral:tmRNA from 1 species
GGGGGCGACAUGGCUUCGACUGGAUCAAGAAGGUUUAGGUUGCAUCGCCGGACUGAGCAGCUCCGUUAUACGGCUCACCUUGCUUAAACGCAAACAACACUAAUUACCGUCCUGCUUACGCUGUAGCGUAAGUUUAAUUUAACUUAGGACUGCUCUACCUCUCUAUGCUAUCACCGAGAGGGUUUGGGGUAUAACCACUGCGAUAGCUAUAUUCUCAGAGUGCCUCGGAUGGGAAUGAAUUUAGAGGAUAGUGUGCUGUAGAUUUGCACGUUGUGUGAAAGCCCACGAGAUUUAAACAACGUUACUAAGCAUGUAGACGCCUUUACUCACUUGGUUUAGGACUCCGGUUCAAUCCCGGACGCCUCCACCA